rnacentral:rRNA from 1 species
CUUUUCACGCCCUAGUGGCGGACGGGUGAGUAACGCGUGGGUAACCUGCCAUAUACAGGUCGAUAACACUUAGAAAUAGGUGCUAAUACCGCAUAAGCGCACAGGGGCGCAUGCCCCGGUGUGAAAAACUCCGGUGGUAUAUGAUGGACCCGCGUCUGAUUAGCCAGUUGGCAGGGUAACGGCCUACCAAAGCGACGAUCAGUAGCCGGCCUGAGAGGGCGGACGGCCACAUUGGGACUGAGACACGGCCCAAACUCCUACGGGAGGCAGCAGUGGGGGAUAUUGCACAAUGGGGGAAACCCUGAUGCAGCGACGCCGCGUGAGUGAAGAAGUAUUUCGGUAUGUAAAGCUCUAUCAGCAGGGAAGAAAA